UACGUAGGGAGCAAGCGUUGUUCGGAUUUACUGGGCGUAAAGGGCGCGUAGGCGGCGCUGUAAGUCACUUGUGAAAUCUCUGAGCUUAACUCAGAACGGCCAAGUGAUACUGCAGUGCUAGAGUGCAGAAGGGGCAAUCGGAAUUCUUGGUGUAGCGGUGAAAUGCGUAGAUAUUGGGAGGAACACCAGUGGCGAAGGCGGCUCACUGGACCGGAACUGACGCUGAGGCGCGAAAGCGUGGGGAGCAAACAGG
rnacentral:rRNA from 1 species